UACGUAGGCAGCGAGCGUUGUUCGGAGUUACUGGGCGUAAAGGGCGCGUAGGCGGCUUGGCAAGUGGAAGGUGAAAUCCCUCGGCUUAACCGAGGAACUGCCCUCCAAACUGCUUCGCUUGAGACCGGGAGAGGUGAGUGGAAUUCCCAGUGUAGCGGUGAAAUGCGUAGAUAUUGGGAGGAACACCAGUGGCGAAGGCGGCUCACUGGACCGGUACUGACGCUGAUGCGCGAAAGCGUGGGGAGCAAACAGG
rnacentral:rRNA from 1 species